rnacentral:rRNA from 1 species
GUGGGGAAUCUUAGACAAUGGGGGAAACCCUGAUCUAGCCAUGCCGCGUGAGCGAUGAAGGCCUUAGGGUUGUAAAGCUCUUUCAGCUGGGAAGAUAAUGACGGUACCAGCAGAAGAAGCCCCGGCUAACUCCGUGCCAGCAGCCGCGGUAAUACGGAGGGGGCUAGCGUUGUUCGGAAUUACUGGGCGUAAAGCGCGCGUAGGCGGACCAGAAAGUUGGAGGUGAAAUCCCAGGGCUCAACCUUGGAACUGCCUUCAAAACUCCUGGUCUGGAGUUCGAGAGAGGUGAGUGGAAUUCCGAGUGUAGAGGUGAAAUUCGUAGAUAUUCGGAGGAACACCAGUGGCGAAGGCGGCUCACUGGCUCGAUACUGACGCUGAGGUGCGAAAGCGUGGGUAGCAAACAGGAUUAGAAACCCGUGUAGUCC